AUGAACGCUAGCUACAGGCUUAACACAUGCAAGUCGAGGGGCAGCAUGACCUAGCAAUAGGUUGAUGGCGACCGGCGCACGGGUGAGUAACACGUAUCCAACCUACCGGUUAUUCCGGGAUAGCCUUUCGAAAGAAAGAUUAAUACCGGAUAGUAUAACGAGAAGGCAUCUUUUUGUUAUUAAAGAAUUUCGAUAACCGAUGGGGAUGCGUUCCAUUAGUUUGUUGGCGGGGUAACGGCCCACCAAGACAUCGAUGGAUAGGGGUUCUGAGAGGAAGGUCCCCCACAUUGGAACUGAGACACGGUCCAAACUCCUACGGGAGGCAGCAGUGAGGAAUAUUGGUCAAUGGACGAGAGUCUGAACCAGCCAAGUAGCGUGAAGGAUGACUGCCCUAUGGGUUGUAAACUUCUUUUAUAUGGGAAUAAAGUGAGCCACGUGUGGCUUUUUGUAUGUACCAUACGAAUAAGGAUCGGCUAACUCCGUGCCAGCAGCCGCGGUAAUACGGAGGAUCCGAGCGUUAUCCGGAUUUAUUGGGUUUAAAGGGAGCGUAGGCGGACUAUUAAGUCAGCUGUGAAAGUUUGCGGCUCAACCGUAAAAUUGCAGUUGAUACUGGUCGUCUUGAGUGCAGUAGAGGUAGGCGGAAUUCGUGGUGUAGCGGUGAAAUGCUUAGAUAUCACGAAGAACUCCGAUUGCGAAGGCAGCUUACUGGACUGUAACUGACGCUGAUGCUCGAAAGUGUGGGUAUCAAACAGGAUUAGAUACCCUGGUAGUCCACACAGUAAACGAUGAAUACUCGCUGUUUGCGAUAUACAGCAAGCGGCCAAGCGAAAGCAUUAAGUAUUCCACCUGGGGAGUACGCCGGCAACGGUGAAACUCAAAGGAAUUGACGGGGGCCCGCACAAGCGGUGGAGUAUGUGGUUUAAUUCGACGCAACGCGAAGAACCUUACCAGGUCUUGACAUCCCGAUGCUAUUUCUAGAGAUAGAAAGUUACUUCGGUACAUCGGUGACAGGUGGUGCAUGGUUGUCGUCAGCUCGUGCCGUGAGGUGUCGGCUUAAGUGCCAUAACGAGCGCAACCCUUAUCUUUAGUUACUAACAGGUCAUGCUGAGGACUCUAGAGAGACUGCCGUCGUAAGAUGUGAGGAAGGUGGGGAUGACGUCAAAUCAGCACGGCCCUUACGUCCGGGGCUACACACGUGUUACAAUGGGGGGUACAGAAGGCAGCUACACAGCGAUGUGAUGCUAAUCCCAAAAGCCUCUCUCAGUUCGGAUUGGAGUCUGCAACCCGACUCCAUGAAGCUGGAUUCGCUAGUAAUCGCGCAUCAGCCACGGCGCGGUGAAUACGUUCCCGGGCCUUGUACACACCGCCCGUCAAGCCAUGAAAGCCGGGGGUACCUGAAGUCCGUAACCGUAAGGAGCGGCCUAGGGUAAAACUGGUAAUUGGGGCU
rnacentral:rRNA from 1 species